rnacentral:rRNA from 1 species
GAUGAACGCUGACAGAAUGCUUAACACAUGCAAGUCAACUUGAAUUUGGGGUUUUAACUGAGGUUUGGGUGGCGGACGGGUGAGUAACGCGUAAAGAACUUGCCUCACAGCUAGGGACAACAUUUGGAAACGAAUGCUAAUACCUAAUAUUAUGAUAAUAGGGCAUCCUAUAAUUAUGAAAGCUAUAAGCGCUGUGAGAGAGCUUUGCGUCCCAUUAGCUAGUUGGAGAGGUAACGGCUCACCAAGGCGAGGAUGGGUAGCCGGCCUGAGAGGGUGAUCGGCCACCAGGGGACUGAGACACGGCCCUUACUCCUACGGGAGGCAGCAGUGGGGAAUAUUGGACAAUGGACCGAGAGUCUGAUCCAGCAAUUCUGUGUGCACGAUGAAGUUUUUCGGAAUGUAAAGUGCUUUCAGUUGGGAAGAAACAAAUGACGGUACCAACAGAAGAAGUGACGGCUAAAUACGUG